AUUAAACUGAAGAGUUUGAUCCUGGCUCAGAUUGAACGCUGGUGGCAUGCUUAACACAUGCAAGUCGAACGGUAACAGGUCUUAGGAUGCUGACGAGUGGCGGACGGGUGAGUAACGCGUAGGAAUCUGCCCAUUUGAGGGGGAUACCAGUUGGAAACGACUGUUAAUACCGCAUAAUAUCUGUGGAUUAAAGGUGGCUUUCGGGCUGUCGCAGAUGGAUGAGCCUGCGUUGGAUUAGCUAGUUGGUGGGGUAAGGGCCCACCAAGGCUACGAUCCAUAGCUGAUUUGAGAGGAUGAUCAGCCACAUUGGGACUGAGACACGGCCCAAACUCCUACGGGAGGCAGCAGUGGGGAAUAUUGG
rnacentral:rRNA from 1 species